rnacentral:rRNA from 1 species
CCUACGGGAGGCAGCAGUGGGGAAUAUUGCACAAUGGGGGAAACCCUGAUGCAGCGACGCCGCGUGAGGGAAGAAGGAUUUCGGGAGGUAAAGCUCUAUCAGCAGGGAAGAAAAGGACGGUACCUGACUAAGAAGCCCCGGCUAACUACGUGCCAGCAGCCGCGGUAAGACGUCGGGGGCAAGCGUUCUCCGGAUGUACUGGGUGUAAAGGGAGCGUAGACGGCACGACAAGUCAGAAGUGAAAGCCCAGGGCUCAACCCUGGGACGGCUUUUGAAACUGCCGGGCUUGAGUGCCGGAGUGGUCAGCGGCCUUCCUCGUGUAGCGGUGUACUGCGUCGCUAUUCGGCGGAACCCCAGUGGCGCUGGCGGCUUACUGGACUGUAACUGCCGUUGAGGCUCG